GGAUGUGGUGAAGAGGGAUCAGGAAGUUUAUGUGAAGGUGAUUUCAAUUUCAGGUCAGAAGUUGAGCCUUUCGAUGAGGGAUGUUGAUCAAUAUACAGGGAAGGAUUUGCUCCCCUUGAAGAAGAGCUCAGAGGAUGAUGCUCUUAGGACGAACCCAUCUUUUUCAAAGGAUGGACCUGUGACUAGGACUGGUCUUUCCGGGAUUAGGAUUGUGGAAGAGGAUGAGGUUGGCCCAUCACGCUGGCCAUUGAAGAGAAUGAGUUCGCCAGAGAAGUGGGAAGCCAAACAGUUGAUUGCCUCAGGUGUUUUGGGUGUUACAGAGUAUCCUAUGUAUGAUGAGGAAACCGAUGGGAUGCUUUAUCAAGAAGAGGGAGCUGAGGAAGAGCUUGAGAUUGAGCUCAAUGAGGACGAGCCAGCCUUUUUAAAUGGACAGAGCAGGUAUUCUGUUGAUAUGUCACCUGUGAAAAUCUUUAAGAAUCCAGAAGGGUCACUGGGUCGUGCAGCUGCACUUCAGUCCGCACUCAUUAAGGAGCGUAGAGAAGUGCGUGAGCAGCAGCAAAGAACCAUGUUGGAUUCUAUCCCAAAGGAUCUCAAUCGUCCCUGGGAAGAUCCAAUGCCAGAGACUGGUGAGAGGCAUCUUGCACAAGAACUUAGAGGUGUUGGUUUAUCGGCAUAUGAUAUGCCUGAGUGGAAGAAGGAUGCUUUUGGGAAAACCAUCAGUUUUGGGCAGAGGUCAAAACUCUCAAUCCAGGAACAGAGGCAGAGCUUGCCUAUCUACAAGCUGAAGAAAGAAUUGAUUGCAGCGGUGCAUGAGAACCAAGUGCUUGUCGUCAUUGGUGAGACUGGUUCGGGUAAGACAACACAGGUAACACAGUAUCUUGCAGCAGUGGGUUACACGACAAUGGGUAAGAUUGAUUGUACACAGCCACGUAGGGUGGCUGCCAUGUCUGUGGCCAAGAGGGUUGCUGAAGAGUUUGGUUGUCGUUUAGGAGAGGAAGUCGGCUAUGCAAUUCGUUUUGAGGAUUGCACUGGUCCAGACACUGUCAUCAAGUACAUGACUGAUGGUAUGCUUCUUAGGGAGAUUUUGAUUGAUGAGAACCUUUCUCAGUAUUCUGUGGUCAUGCUUGAUGAAGCUCAUGAGAGGACAAUCCACACAGAUGUUCUUUUUGGACUACUGAAGAAGCUUGUGAAGCGGAGACCAGACCUUCGUUUGAUUGUCACAUCUGCUACCUUGGAUGCGGAGAAGUUUUCCGGUUAUUUCUUUAACUGUAACAUCUUCACUAUCCCUGGGAGAACUUUUCCUGUAGAGAUACUCUACACUAAACAGCCGGAAAGUGACUACCUUGAUGCAUCUCUAAUAACUGUUCUACAAAUACACUUGACAGAACCUGAAGGUGACAUUCUUCUUUUCUUGACUGGACAAGAAGAGAUUGAUUUUGCAUGCCAGUCUCUCUAUGAGAGGAUGAAAGGUCUUGGUAAAAAUGUCCCUGAGUUGAUUAUCCUACCAGUGUAUAGUGCCCUUCCUAGUGAAAUGCAGUCAAGGAUAUUUGAUCCUGCCCCACCAGGUAAGAGGAAAGUAGUUGUGGCUACUAAUAUUGCUGAGGCAUCACUGACCAUUGAUGGGAUAUUUUAUGUCAUUGAUCCUGGUUUUGCAAAGCAAAAUGUUUAUAACCCAAAGCAGGGGCUAGAUUCACUGGUCAUAACUCCAAUUUCCCAAGCAUCAGCUAAGCAACGAGCUGGGCGUGCUGGGCGUACAGGCCCUGGGAAAUGUUACCGCCUCUACACUGAGAGUGCAUACCGCAAUGAGAUGUCCCCUACUUCAAUUCCAGAAAUCCAGAGGAUAAAUCUUGGGACUACUACACUUACGAUGAAAGCUAUGGGGAUAAAUGAUCUCUUGUCUUUUGAUUUUAUGGAUCCUCCUUCACCCCAAGCACUCAUUUCUGCCAUGGAACAAUUGUACAGUUUAGGAGCACUGGAUGAGGAGGGGCUGCUCACCAAAUUGGGUAGGAAAAUGGCUGAGUUUCCUCUGGAUCCACCCUUGUCUAAGAUGCUAUUGGCCAGUGUGGACCUUGGAUGCAGUGAUGAGAUCUUGACCAUCAUUGCAAUGAUUCAGACUGGCAAUAUUUUUUACAGACCUAGGGAAAAACAAGCCCAGGCAGAUCAGAAGAGAGCCAAGUUUUUCCAGCCAGAGGGAGAUCAUCUGACUUUACUUGCAGUCUAUGAGGCAUGGAAAGCUAAGAAUUUUUCAGGGCCAUGGUGUUUUGAGAACUUUGUUCAGUCUCGAUCCUUGAGGAGGGCACAGGAUGUCAGAAAACAGCUUCUCAGCAUCAUGGACAAGUAUGUUCUUCUAAUUUAUCUUGAUGUGUAUUCGUGGCUGCAUGGAUUUUUUUUCUGGUUUCACAUGUGCAUGAAUGGUUUUAAAAGAUGUAGAUUAAUGUUCUAGGUUUUCUCAUGUUUGGUACAUUGUAUUUUUGCAGUAGUCGCGAAUUAGGCACUCCUUUUGCUGUCUGUACUUGAUGGAAAUGCUGAAAUGUUGUUCAGGCCUAGUUUGUGUUUUAAAAUCUUGAUAUAUGAUACCUGAGCAGCGAAUAGGUCAUUACGAGUUGUCAUGUUGAUGUUACUACAUACACUGUUUUCAGAGCAUUAUUAGCAGAAGUGCUUUUUUCCCAUUUUUUCAGUGGUUAAGUAUAGUAUCUUUAUAAAUUAUAACUACUCUUGUGUAUAGCUAAAUUGCCAGUAUAUGCUCUUCAAAUGUGCUCUCUUGUGCUGACAUGUUAGUCAUUUUGAUACCGGAAUUGUUUUUCUUGGUAAAGUGUGUGUACAAAAUAUUGCAAAACUAUUUUAAAAGUUGAUAUGAAAAUUCAGGUGGCAUAUUACACAUCGUACCAUCGCCAUUAACAGAUUUCAUUGAUUGACAUAGCAUUGUCAUGUAAGGUCUAGGAUAGAUUAUUAGAAAGAUUGUGUAUAAAAACCUAGCAUAAGUUUGUCAUGCCAAUGUCUCUACUAGCACCCCCUUGGUUUAGUUUAUAACAGUGGUCAACGAUUUCUAAGUUGAGUAUUCUGAUUUGAAGAUGAAAUUGCAUUCUGACUAUAGAUUGUGAAUUUCAGGUAUAAAGUGGAUGUUGUCAGUGCUGGAAAGAAUUUUCCAAAGAUCAGGAAGGCAAUUACGGCAGGGUUUUUCUU
rnacentral:lncRNA from 1 species